rnacentral:rRNA from 1 species
GACGAACGCUGGCGGCGUGCUUAACACAUGCAAGUCGAACGGUGAAGCGCCUUCCUUUUUGGUGGGUGUGGAUGAGUGGCGAACGGGUGAGUAACACGUGAGUAACCUGCCCCCUUCUUCUGGAUAACCGCAUGAAAGUGUGGCUAAUACGGGAUAUUCUGGGUCUGUCGCAUGAUGGGUCUGGGAAAGAUAUUGUUUCGGUGGGGGAUGGGCUCGCGGCCUAUCAGCUUGUUGGUGGGGUGAUGGCCUACCAAGGCGGUGACGGGUAGCCGGCCUGAGAGGGUGGACGGUCACACGGGGACUGAGACACGGCCCAGACUCCUACGGGAGGCAGCAGUGGGGAAUAUUGCACAAUGGGCGCAAGCCUGAUGCAGCGACGCCGCGUGAGGGAUGGAGGCCUUCGGGUUGUGAACCUCUUUCGCCAGUGAAGCAGGCCUGCCUCGUUUGUGGGUGGGUCGACGGUAGCUGGAUAAGAAGCGCCGGCUAACUACGUG